rnacentral:rRNA from 1 species
AAAUUGAAGAGUUUGAUCAUGGCUCAGAUUGAACGCUGGCGGCAGGCCUAACACAUGCAAGUCGAGCGGAAACGAGUUAUCUGAACCUUCGGGGAACGAUAACGGCGUCGAGCGGCGGACGGGUGAGUAAUGCCUAGGAAAUUGCCCUGAUGUGGGGGAUAACCAUUGGAAACGAUGGCUAAUACCGCAUGAUGCCUACGGGCCAAAGAGGGGGACCUUCGGGCCUCUCGCGUCAGGAUAUGCCUAGGUGGGAUUAGCUAGUUGGUGAGGUAAGGGCUUACCAAGGCGACGAGCCCUAGCUGGUCUGAGAGGAUGAUCAGCCACACUGGAACUGAGACACGGUCCAGACUCCUACGGGAGGCAGCAGUGGGGAAUAUUGCACAAUGGGCGCAAGCCUGAUGCAGCCAUGCCGCGUGUGUGAAGAAGGCCUUCGGGUUGUAAAGCACUUUCAGUCGUGAGGAAGG